UAAGGAAUAUUGCUCAAUGGGAGAAAUCCUGAAGCAGCAACGCCGCGUGGAGGAUGAAGGGUCUAUGACUUGUAAACUCCUGUAAAGAAGGAAAAAAUUCCCAUUUGAUGGGAGAUGAUGGUACUUCUGGAGUAAGCCCCGGCUAACUACGUGCCAGCAGCCGCGGUAAUACGCAGGGGGCAAGCGUUGUCCGGCUUUACUGGGUGUAAAGGGUGCUCAGGCGGAUGUGUAAGUCAGAGGUGAAAUCUUACAGCUUAACUGUGAAACGGCCUUUGAUACUGCAAGCCUAGAGUAUGGAAGAGNGUGAUGGAAUAUCUGGUGUAGCAGUGAAAUGCGUAGAUAUCAGAUAGAACACCAAUGGCGAAGGCAGUCACUUGGUCCAUUACUGACGCUAAAGCACGAAAGCGUGGGUAGCAAACA
rnacentral:rRNA from 1 species